GUCUAUGGCCAUGCUACCCUGAACAAGCCUGAUCCUGUCUGAUCUCGGAAGCUAAGCAGGAUUGGCCUGGUUAGUACCUGGGUAGGAGACCACCUAGGAAGACUAGGUGCUGUAGGUC
rnacentral:rRNA from 1 species